rnacentral:tRNA from 1 species
AAAAUUUUAGGUUAAUCAAACUAACAUCCUUCAAAGUUGUAGAUAAAAUAUUCAUUUUAAAUUUUA